UACGGGGGGGGUAAGCGUUGUUCGGAAUUACUGGGCGUAAAGGGCUCGUAGGCGGCCAACUAGGUCAUACGUGAAAUCCCUCAGCUUAACUGGGGAACUGCGUGUGAUACUGGAUGGCUUGGAUUUGGGAGAGGGAUGCGGAAUUCCAGGUGUAGCGGUGAAAUGCGUAGAUAUCUGGAGGAACACCGGUGGCGAAGGCGGCAUCCUGGACCAAUAUUGACGCUGAGGAGCGAAAGCUAGGGGAGCAAACGGG
rnacentral:rRNA from 1 species